rnacentral:rRNA from 1 species
UAGUAACUGCGAGUGAAGCGGGAAAAGCUCAAAUUUAAAAUCUGGCUGUCUAUAUGGCAGUCCGAGUUGUAAUCUAGAGAAGUGCUACCCGCGCUGGACCGUGUACAAGUCUCCUGGAACGGAGCAUCAUAGAGGGUGAGAAUCCCGUCUUUGACACGGACUGCCAGGGCUAUGUGGUGCGCUCUCAACGAGUCGAGUUGUUUGGGAAUGCAGCUCAAAAUGGGUGGUAAAUUCCAUCUAAAGCUAAAUAUUGGCGAGAGACCGAUAGCGAACAAGUACCGUGAGGGAAAGAUGAAAAGAACUUUGGAAAGAGAGUUAAACAGUACGUGAAAUUGCUGAAAGGGAAACGCUUGAAGUCAGUCGCGCUGGCCAGGGAUCAACCUCGCUCUUUUGUGAGGUGCACUUUCUGGUUGGCGGGUCAGCAUCAGUUUUGGUUGCUGGAUAAAGGCCUUGGGAAUGUGGCAUCCUCGGAUGUGUUAUAGCCCUUGGUUGGAUACAGUGGCUGGGAUUGAGGAACUCAGCACGCCGCAAGGCCGGGCUUUUAGCCACGUACGUGCUUGGGAUGCUGGCAUAAUGGCUUUAAUCGACCCGUCUUGAAACACGGACCAAGGAGUCUAACAUGCCUGCGAGUAUUUGGGUGGAAAACCCGAGUGCGCAAUGAAAGUGAAAGUUGAGAUCCCUGUCGUGGGGAGCAUCGACGCCCGGACCUGAGGCUUGCUGACGGUUCUGCGGUAGA